GACAGAGGAUGCAAGCGUUAUCCGGAAUGAUUGGGCGUAAAGCGUCUGUAGGUGGCUUUUUAAGUCUGCCGUCAAAUCCCAGGGCUUAACCCUGGACAGGCGGUGGAAACUACGAAGCUGGAGUACGGUAGGGGCAGAGGGAACUUCCGGUGGAGCGGUGAAAUGCUUAGAGAUCGGAAAGAACACCAACGGCGAAAGCACUCUGCUGGGCCGACACUGACACUGAGGGACGAAAGCUAGGGGAGCGAAUGGG
rnacentral:rRNA from 1 species